ACACGAACCGCACGAACGUUAUUCGGAAUCACUGGGCUUAAAGGGUGCGUAGGCGGUCCGGUAAGUUGGGUGUGAAAGCCCUCGGCUCAACCGAGGAAUUGCGCCCAAAACUACCGGACUUGAGGAAGACAGAGGUGAGCGGAACUUGCGGUGGAGCGGUGAAAUGCGUUGAUAUCGCAAGGAACACCAGUGGCGAAAGCGGCUCACUGGGUCUUUUCUGACGCUGAGGCACGAAAGCUAGGGGAGCGAACGGGAUUAGAAACCCUGGUAGUCC
rnacentral:rRNA from 1 species